GCGGGUGUAGCUCAGUUGGUUAGAGCGCCGGCCUGUCACGCCGGAGGUCGCGGGUUCG
rnacentral:tRNA from 1 species